UUAAGAAUUUCUAGAGCUAUAAAUACUUUGCUGUAAGAAUGCUUGGAGCUCUCUGAUAAACUGGGCCUACAACGGCGUGGCCCGUAUGUGUACAAGGUCUCUUUGGAAACAUUGCCAGGCCGUAAGACCUACGGCCCAAUCGCGCGAGGAAACGCAACCACCGGUCGAGUCGGGGUCAGAGACCGACGCCGGCAACUCGCGCGGCAACCCAGCCUUGCUCUCGCAGUUCCCCUCGCGCUCUGCAUCCUCCGACUCGUCGGCCGGCCAACCCUCUAACGUCGCCCCGUCCCCACUGGGGUCGCGCUCGCCGCCUCGGUCCUCGUUCUCUGCUCCCACACAUGAGUCUACGACGAGCUUUCACGUCGCCGUCGCCGCAACCAACCCCGACCUGACACGCCCCAUCCCGAGGUCCUCUCGGUGAUCUGAUUUGGUCAAAUCGGGCCGGCGCUCGGAGUAGGAGACGCGAUCUCCGGUCGAAGCAAGGGAACCGCCUCGUCGGUGGGCGGCCUCUUCUCCGCGGCUAACCAGGUCAUCGCAUCGUUAUGCGAGGUGUGGUUGAUUUGUUCAAUCUGUUGAUUACGGAAGCAUGCCUGAUGCUCGGAGAAUUUCUCUUCCUGCUGAUCGUGGUGGUUGCCUAGUUCAUGGGUUGAUUUCACAUGAUCCGUCAUAAUUCUGCUGCAAUAUUCCCUGUGUUCGGUUUAGGGGGUACCUUAGUUUGCAGAUUGCCCCUGUCUACCGAAUUAGGAUGGUGUGGUAAGCAGAUCAAGACAUCCUAGAUUAUCAGGCAUUGCUAUGUGAAAUCCCGUCCACGACAAUUGGACUGCAGUCUGCACCGAGCGUGAAUCAGAUGAAGAGUUUGAGAUCUGUAGCAGAAGGGGCCCGUCCGCCGGCGAGGUUCACCAUCUGCGCUCCGCCGACAAGGUCCGCCGUCUACGAUGUCCACGCCAUCCAUGCUCCGCCGGCAUGGUCCGCCAUCUACAUCUCCACCGACGGAAAUCAUUAAUGUCGGAGUUUGGGCAAGGGUGCUGUCAUUCGACGCAGAUCAUUAAAUGCUUCUAUUUAAUCUCUCAGAUGAGUAUCUUUCUCCAUGAUGUGCAGGCAUUUCAGUUUCUUAGGCAUUUCAGUGUAUUAGAAUUGCUUUAGAUCUAUGUUGCAGCAGUUUCUUCUGAAAAGAAAAAGGCAUGAAUAUUACUUUCUGCUUGAUGUAUGGAAUAUGUACUAUAUAAACCUUUCCAGGCAGUUCACUAUACUUUUGGUUCAAAAAAAUACUUAUGCUUGGACUAUUGAAGAUAAUUACUUCUAGAUAUAAAGCAAGCUGCUUGAACCUACCUUGUUUAUCCAGAUAUCUUUAUCAAACCGAAGAUUGACUAGUGAUUAACGAUUGCGUUGAAGUAGAAAAGAAAAAUCGACCACAGGGAGAGACGCACCCUGGCUUUGUUCUAAAGAUAGGGUUACUGGUUGGCAAAAAACUCACUGAAAACAAUUCUUAGUAAGGUACCUACAUGACUUAUGAGCACCCGGGUUUGAGUCCGGAUGGGUGCCCCCUCGGCUAGAGGCUAUGCGUUAUCACUCGGUUCUCCGUUGAAGUAGAAAAGAGGCACUGUCUUUGUAGUCUGCACCUUUUUUCCAGUCAAAUAUGAUCGUUAAUAUGUCAUGUUGUCGUCAUUUUCUUUGGAUGUUGGGCGUUUUCUUUUUGUUUUCUUGUUUUUGUCAUAUGAACUUGAGUUUACGAUGGACUUCCAUGUGCAUAACUCACUUACCCUAAUCAGCGAUUCCUUUUUAAGGUUAUACGUAGUUAUGAAUUCUCUAACAAACGGCCAUCACAUGACACCAUUAUAAUAGUAUUUGAAAGGGCCCAUGUAGCAUAACUAAUAGGGGAGAACAAGAUUGUGGUAAUUCCGCUCCUUAGGAGCUAGAGUAGAGACUUGAGAGCUUUGUCAUGAACAUCCUCCUAGCGCGGAAGUUAUAUAUCUUUGGAGGUAAAGAGUUUCAUUGAGACUAAGGUAGAGACUAAAGAGUAAUCAAUGCACAAACCUGCACAAUAUAGCCAACAUGUCGGCCCCGGUCCAACUUCCUCUCUGACAUGACCUGUUGAGAGGCGCAAAUAUGAAUGCAAACAUCACCAGAACCUGUCAGCCAUGUUCCAUUCUGAAACGGGACAUACACGAUCUCCUGUUCACGAAAAUUUAAUCAUCCAGACUUACGCAUUCGACACCAGCUACAGCAAAUCGAACCAUAAAUAUGUAAGUGCAGUACAUCACUGGUUGCAAUUAACAAAGCUGCUGUUUUUGGCUAGGGUUUAACCACAUGGUCUGCCACUGUAGUACGAAAGCUUUUCUGGGCAAUUCAUGCCCUUAGUGUUGGUGCUCAGGGAAGCAAAUGUCCCACGAUUGGCUUAACGAUUUGUUAAGUACUCUCAUCAAAAGCCUGGUACCAGAAUGCUUUGAUCCAUUUAUUAGUUGUUUAAACUUGGUUUGUUGAGCGGUUAGUUGCUUGUGCUGCUCAUCAUGCACGAUUCGGGUGCACGGGUGUGAAUUCUUUAAUUCGUCUCCCCUUCCCAAACUCGCUAAAUCCCAACUAAAUUAUUAUCUUUUACCCAUAGAGAUUACGAUUUGUUUAAGCAAAGAAGCAUGGGUUAGUGUUGUCAAAUGUAGUCAGAUAGUAUUAGUUUAAGUUUGGAAAGGAUGAGAUCAGCAACUACUAAAAGUAUUUGAAGCUGGGUUUGAUUACUUGGAGCCACAAGGAUUGGUGGGCAUGGUUUUAUCAGUCUUGUCUAAUGCCAACUAACUUGAUUCGAGCUGAUAGCCGAUCUUUGGUCUUUAAUUACUGCUGGGAAUAUUGUCUAGAUCUUUUAGCUAGCUUUUCUGCUCUCUCUAUCUUCUUUCUUUUCUUUUUUUAGUUUUUGCUUCCUUGUAUAGCUUGGGAUCUUUUCUACUUUUUGAGCUGUUGGCUUUGUACAGUUUUAUCUUUUUUAAUUUAUUAUUCACGGUAGGGGUUUCUUCAUUGUUAAACCUUUCAAAAAAAAUUAUUAUCUAGAUCUUAUCUUUUGUUUCGACAAAUUAUUCAGAUCAUAUCUACACAAGGAUCUCCAAGGUACUCCAUUUUUCUUUUGCUGCUAUUGGUUGUUCUAGUGCCUUUCCCCUGAAAAGAUAACUAGCAAAAAUCUCUGUCCUGUUUUCUUUCUUAAGCGAAAUUAUUUUGUUUUCGAAUUAGUAGAAGAGUGUGAGUGGAAGUGACUCAACUUCUAAUGUUGCUUUUAUUAGGAGUAUAAUGAGAGGUAUUAGCUUGGAAUCAACAGGGUGUGCUGCUAGAUAUUUGGCUACACGUUUAACAGUACCUCUUUGGCUUCAUGGUGCCAGUCGAAUAGUCGAUUCGGUCUGCAUUAUCGUCGUCAGCCUCUUACGCCAUCUAGAGCGGAGUCGUUUUCGAGUGCUGCGGUAACUGAUACGGUCUCCGUGACUCCGUGCGCUCGCAAAAACGCUCGAGCAGAGUCGGCUUCCACUGAAGUGAUGCAGGCUCGAAUCACGACAUAGGGAGAAACGCCAAAUUUGCGGAAGGAAUGUAGCUUCUACAAUACUGUUAAUAGAUGAUGAUCGUGGGUUUAAAGGAACAAAGAAAGUAAUAAAAUGUAAGUAAAUGUGUUAG